GACGAACGCUGGCGGCGUGCUUAACACAUGCAAGUCGAACGGAAAGGCCCUGCUUUUGUGGGGUGCUCGAGUGGCGAACGGGUGAGUAACACGUGAGUAACCUGCCCUUGACUUUGGGAUAACUUCAGGAAACUGGGGCUAAUACCGGAUAGGAGCUCCUGCUGCAUGGUGGGGGUUGGAAAGUUUCGGCGGUUGGGGAUGGACUCGCGGCUUAUCAGCUUGUUGGUGGGGUAGUGGCUUACCAAGGCUUUGACGGGUAGCCGGCCUGAGAGGGUGACCGGCCACAUUGGGACUGAGAUACGGCCCAGACUCCUACGGGAGGCAGCAGUGGGGAAUAUUGCACAAUGGGCGGAAGCCUGAUGCAGCAACGCCGCGUGCGGGAUGACGGCCUUCGGGUUGUAAACCGCUUUCGCCUGUGACGAAGCGUGAGUGACGGUAAUGGGUAAAGAAGCACCGGCUAACUACGUGCCAGCAGCCGCGGUGAUACGUAGGGUGCGAGCGUUGUCCGGAUUUAUUGGGCGUAAAGGGCUCGUAGGUGGUUGAUCGCGUCGGAAGUGUAAUCUUGGGGCUUAACCCUGAGCGUGCUUUCGAUACGGGUUGACUUGAGGAAGGUAGGGGAGAAUGGAAUUCCUGGUGGAGCGGUGGAAUGCGCAGAUAUCAGGAGGAACACCAGUGGCGAAGGCGGUUCUCUGGGCCUUUCCUGACGCUGAGGAGCGAAAGCGUGGGGAGCGAACAGGCUUAGAUACCCUGGUAGUCCACGCUGUAAACGGUGGGUACUAGGUGUGGGGUCCAUUCCACGGGUUCCGUGCCGUAGCUAACGCUUUAAGUACCCCGCCUGGGGAGUACGGCCGCAAAGCUAAAACUCAAAGGAAUUGACGGGGCCCCGCACAAGCGGCGGAGCAUGCGGAUUAAUUCGAUGCAACGCGUAGAACCUUACCUGGGUUUGACAUGGAUCGGGAGUGCUCAGAGAUGGGUGUGCCUCUUUUGGGGUCGGUUCACAGGUGGUGCAUGGCUGUCGUCAGCUCGUGUCGUGAGAUGUUGGGUUAAGUCCCGCAACGAGCGCAACCCUUGUUCACUGUUGCCAGCACGUUAUGGUGGGGACUCAGUGGAGACCGCCGGGGUCAACUCGGAGGAAGGUGGGGAUGACGUCAAGUCAUCAUGCCCCUUAUGUCCAGGGCUUCACGCAUGCUACAAUGGCUGGUACAGAGAGUGGCGAGCCUGUGAGGGUGAGCGAAUCUCGGAAAGCCGGUCACAGUUCGGAUUGGGGUCUGCAACUCGACCUCAUGAAGUCGGAGUCGCUAGUAAUCGCAGAUCAGCAACGCUGCGGUGAAUACGUUCCCGGGGCU
rnacentral:rRNA from 1 species